AACGAACGCUGGCGGCAUGCCUAACACAUGCAAGUCGAACGAGACCUUCGGGUCUAGUGGCGCACGGGUGCGUAACGCGUGGGAACCUGCCCUUAGGUUCGGAAUAACUCCCCGAAAGGGGUGCUAAUACCGGAUAAUGUCUUCGGACCAAAGAUUUAUCGCCUUUGGAUGGGCCCGCGUUGGAUUAGCUAGUUGGUAGGGUAAAAGCCUAACAAGGCGACGAUCCAUAACUGGUCUGAGAGGAUGAUCAGCCACACUGGGACUGAGACACGGCCCAGACUCCUACGGGAUGCAGCAGUGGGGAAUAUUGGACAGUGGGCGAAAGCCUGAUCCAGCAAUGCCGCGUGAGUGAUGAAGGCCUUAGGGUUGUAAAGCUCUUUUACCCGGGAUGAUAAUGACAGUACCGGGAGAAUAAGCUCCGGCUAACUCCGUG
rnacentral:rRNA from 1 species